rnacentral:rRNA from 1 species
GACGAACGCUGGCGGCGUGCUUAACACAUGCAAGUCGAGCGGAGAGGCCCUGUAUUUGUGGGAUGCGCGAGUGGCGAACGGGUGAGUAUCACGUGAGUAGCCUCUGCUUUACUGUGGGGUAACUUCAGGGAACUGGGACUAAUACCGGAUAUGAGCUCCUGCUACAUGGGGGGGGUGGUAAAGUUUCGGAGGUUGGUGAUGGAUUCGCGGCUUAGCCUUGUGUUGGUGGGGUGGUGGCUUACAGGGGCGUUAAGGGGUUGCCGGACUGAGAGGGUGACCGGCCACAUUGGGACUGAGAAACGGGCAGGACUCCAACGGGGGGCAGGAGUGGGAGAUAUUGCAAGAUGGGCGGAAGCAGGAUGCAGCAACGCCGCGUGGGGAAUGACGGUUUUCGGGUUGUAACGCGCUUUAGCCUGGGACGAAGCGUGAGUGACGGUAAUGGCUCAAGAAGCAACGGCUAACUACGUG